UAAACUAGGAUUAGAUACCCUAUUAUUUUAAAUGUAAAAAUUAUAAAUACUGAAUUAGUAUUAGCUAUGUUCUUGAAAAUUAAAAAAUUUGGCGGUAUUUUAGUCUUUUCAGAGGAAUCUGUCCUGUAAUUGAUAGUCCACGAUUAAAUUUACUUUAUUUAUUAGUUUACAUAUCGUCGUAGUAUGAAUAUUUUAAAAGAAAAUUAAUAU
rnacentral:rRNA from 1 species